rnacentral:sRNA from 1 species
UUAACUGAAGAGUUUGAUCAUGGCUCAGAUUGAACG